rnacentral:rRNA from 1 species
CAAUAGCGUAUAUUAAAGUUGUUGCAGUUAAAACGCUCGUAGUCGGAUUUCGGGGCGGGUCCGCCGGUCUGCCGAUGGGUACGCACUGGCGGGCGCGUCCUUCCUUCCGGAGACUGGCCCUACUCUUAGCUGAGCGGGGUCGGGAGUCGGAUCGUUUACUUUGAAAAAAUCAGAGUGUUUCAAGCAGGCAGCUCGCUCUUGCAUGGAUUAGCAUGGGAUAAUAAAAUAGGACUUUGGUGCUAUUUUGUUGGUUUCGAACACCGAAGUAAUGAUUAACAGGGACAGUCAGGGGCACUCGUAUUCCGCCGAGAGAGGUGAAAUUCUCAGACCAGCGGAAGACGAACCACUGCGAAAGCAUUUGCCAGGGAUGUUUNCACUGA